GGAACUUGUGAGGUGUGCAAGAUGGUUGUUAACAGCGAGGGAUGUUGCUAAUUCUAUCAGUUGAAAGCCUCAUUACAAGUCAGAUUUCUUCCAUUUACGUCUUAAGCACAAGAUAUACCUUCAGAAUUAGGAUGGAUCACUCAAAUAUAGUUUUCGUUUGGUAGCGGUUUUUUGGUAUCAAAACCAGCUCGCACCUGACUGAGAUAGCCCUCUCGACACCUUAUUGGAGCUGUGUAACUAGUGGCGGACUCCUCGAUUAUUCAACUGGAUAUCUGCUACCUUCUCCAGUGCAAUACCUGGUAGUAAUUGGACACAGCUCCCAUUGAAGAACAUUAAUCAUUGCUCCACUAUUUGUUUAUUGUGUCUCCACAUAAUGGUAAUAUCUCACUUCAGGACAAAAAA
rnacentral:misc_RNA from 1 species